CGGAUGAGUAACACGUAUCCAACCUGCCGUCUACUCUUGGACAGCCUUCUGAAAGGAAGAUUAAUACAAGAUGGCAUCAUGAGUUCACAUGUUCACAUGAUUAAAGGUAUUCCGGUAGACGAUGGGGAUGCGUUCCAUUAGAUAGUAGGCGGGGUAACGGCCCACCUAGUCUUCGAUGGAUAGGGGUUCUGAGAGGAAGGUCCCCCACAUUGGAACUGAGACACGGUCCAA
rnacentral:rRNA from 1 species